AACGUAGGAGGCGAGCGUUAUCCGGAUUUACUGGGUGUAAAGCGCAUGCAGGCGGUGCACUAAGUUGGGUGUGAAAGCUCCUGGCUCAACUGGGAGAGGUCGCUCAAGACUGGUGCACUCGAGCGUGGUAAGGGAAAGUGGAAUUCCGGGUGUAGUGGUGAAAUGCGUAGAUAUCCGGAGGAACACCAGUGGCGAAGGCGGCUUUCUGGACCACGACUGACGCUCAGAUGCGACAGCUAGGGGAGCAAACGGGAUUAGAGACCCCGGUAGUCCUAGCCGUAAACGAUGUGUACUGGGCGCCGGGCGGGUAAAACUGCUCGGUGCCGUAGCUAACGCGAUAAGUACACCACCUGGGGACUACGGCCGCAAGGUUAAA
rnacentral:rRNA from 1 species